rnacentral:rRNA from 1 species
UACAUGGGGUGCAAACGUUGCUCGGAAUCAUUGGGCGUAAAGCGCGCGUAGGCGGUUACUUAAGUCGAAUGUGAAAGCCCUCGGCUUAACCGAGGAAGUGCAUCCGAAACUGAGUAGCUAGAGUACGAAAGAGGGUCGCGGAAUUCCCGGUGUAGAGGUGAAAUUCGUAGAUAUCGGGAGGAACACCUGCGGCGAAGGCGGGUUGCUGGGCUGAUACUGACGCUGAGGCGCGAAAGCCAGGGGAGCGAACGGG